rnacentral:rRNA from 1 species
UACGUAAGGGGCAAGCGUUAUCCGGAAUUAUUGGGCGUAAAGCGUCCGCAGGCGGUGAAAUAAGUCCGUUAUUAAAUACUGGUGCUCAACAUCGGUGCUGUAAUGGAAACUAUUUUACUAGAGGAUGGGAGAGGUAUGUGGAAUUGUGCAAGUAGGGGUAAAAUCCGUAGAUAUGCACAGGAACACCAAAAGCGAAGGCAGCAUACUGGCUCAUUCCUGACGCUCAGGGACGAAAGCGUGGGGAGCAAAACGG